GGGUUGUGAGGUUAAGCGACUAAGCGUACACGGUGGAUGCCCAGGCAGUCAGAGGCGAUGAAGGACGUGCUAAUCUGCGUAAAGCGACGGUAAGGUGAUAUGAACCGCUACAGCCGUCGAUGUCCGAAUGGGGAAACCCGGUGCACUCUGUGCAUCAUUGCAGCAUGAAUACAUAGUGCUGCAAGGCGAACCGGGGGAACUGAAACAUCUAAGUACCCCGAGGAAAAGAAAUCAACCGAGAUUCCCCCAGUAGCGGCGAGCGAACGGGGAGCAGCCCAGAGCCUGAAUCAGUUUGUGUGUUAGUGGAAGCGUCUGGAAAGUCGCAGGGUACAGGGUGAUACUCCCGUACACAAAAACACACAUGCUGUGAGCUCGAUGAGUAAGGCGGGACACGUGGUAUCCUGUCUGAAUAUGGGGGGACCAUCCUCCAAGGCUAAAUACUCCUGACUGACCGAUAGUGAACCAGUACCGUGAGGGAAAGGCGAAAAGAACCCCGGCGAGGGGAGUGAAACAGAACCUGAAACCGUGUACGUACAAGCAGUGGGAGCCUUCUUUAUGGGGGUGACUGCGUACCUUUUGUAUAAUGGGUCAGCGACUUAUAUUCUGUAGCAAGGUUAACCGUAUAGGGGAGCCGCAGGGAAACCGAGUCUUAACUGGGCGUUAAGUUGCAGGGUAUAGACCCGAAACCCGGUGAUCUAGCCAUGGGCAGGUUGAAGGUUGGGUAACACUAACUGGAGGACCGAACCGACUAAUGUUGAAAAAUUAGCGGAUGACCUGUGGCUGGGGGUGAAAGGCCAAUCAAACCGGGAGAUAGCUGGUUCUCCCCGAAAGCUAUUUAGGUAGCGCCUCGUGAACUCAUCUUCGGGGGUAGAGCACUGUUUCGGCUAGGGGGCCAUCCCGGCUUACCAACCCGAUGCAAACUGCGAAUACCGAAGAAUGUUAUCACGGGAGACACACGGCGGGUGCUAACGUCCGUCGUGAAGAGGGAAACAACCCAGACCGCCAGCUAAGGUCCCAAAGUCAUGGUUAAGUGGGAAACGAUGUGGGAAGGCACAGACAGCCAGGAUGUUGGCUUAGAAGCAGCCAUCAUUUAAAGAAAGCGUAAUAGCUCACUGGUCGAGUCGGCCUGCGCGGAAGAUGUAACGGGGCUAAACCAUGCACCGAAGCUGCGGCAGCGACGCUUAUGCGUUGUUGGGUAGGGGAGCGUUCUGUAAGCCGUCGAAGGUGUGCUGUGAGGCAUGCUGGAGGUAUCAGAAGUGCGAAUGCUGACAUAAGUAACGAUAAAGCGGGUGAAAAGCCCGCUCGCCGGAAGACCAAGGGUUCCUGUUCAACGUUAAUCGGAGCAGGGUGAGUCGACCCCUAAGGCGAGGCCGAAAGGCGUAGUCGAUGGGAAACAGGUUAAUAUUCCUGUACUCGGUGUUACUGCGAAGGGGGGACGGAGAAGGCUAUAUCGGCCGGGCGACGGUUGUCCCGGUUUAAGCGUGUAGGCGGAGGGUCCAGGUAAAUCCGGUCCCUUAUUAACGCUGAGGCGUGACGACGAGGCACUACGGUGCUGAAGUGAUAAAUGCCCAGCUUCCAGGAAAAGCCUCUAAGCAUCAGGUAACACAGAAUCGUACCCCAAACCGACACAGGUGGUCAGGUAGAGAAUACCAAGGCGCUUGAGAGAACUCGGGUGAAGGAACUAGGCAAAAUGGUGCCGUAACUUCGGGAGAAGGCACGCUGGCGCGUAGGUGGAGGGACUUGCUCCCCGAGCCGAAGCCAGUCGAAGAUACCAGCUGGCUGCAACUGUUUAUUAAAAACACAGCACUGUGCAAACACGAAAGUGGACGUAUACGGUGUGACGCCUGCCCGGUGCCGGAAGGUUAAUUGAUGGGGUUAUCCGCAAGGAGAAGCUCUUGAUCGAAGCCCCGGUAAACGGCGGCCGUAACUAUAACGGUCCUAAGGUAGCGAAAUUCCUUGUCGGGUAAGUUCCGACCUGCACGAAUGGCGUAAUGAUGGCCAGGCUGUCUCCACCCGAGACUCAGUGAAAUUGAACUCGCUGUGAAGAUGCAGUGUACCCGCGGCAAGACGGAAAGACCCCGUGAACCUUUACUACAGCUUGACACUGAACAUUGAGCCUUGAUGUGUAGGAUAGGUGGGAGGCUUUGAAGCGCGGACGCCAGUCUGCGUGGAGCCAACCUUGAAAUACCACCCUUUAAUGUUUGAUGUUCUAACGUAGGCCCGUGAUCCGGGCUGCGGACAGUGUCUGGUGGGUAGUUUGACUGGGGCGGUCUCCUCCUAAAGAGUAACGGAGGAGCACGAAGGUCAGCUAAUCACGGUCGGACAUCGUGAGGUUAGUGCAAUGGCAUAAGCUGGCUUGACUGCGAGAGUGACGGCUCGAGCAGGUGCGAAAGCAGGUCAUAGUGAUCCGGUGGUUCUGAAUGGAAGGGCCAUCGCUCAACGGAUAAAAGGUACUCCGGGGAUAACAGGCUGAUACCGCCCAAGAGUUCAUAUCGACGGCGGUGUUUGGCACCUCGAUGUCGGCUCAUCACAUCCUGGGGCUGAAGUAGGUCCCAAGGGUACGGCUGUUCGCCGUUUAAAGUGGUACGCGAGCUGGGUUUAGAACGUCGUGAGACAGUUCGGUCCCUAUCUGCCGUGGGCGCUGGAGAAUUGAGGGGGGUUGCUCCUAGUACGAGAGGACCGGAGUGAACGCACCACUGGUGUUCGGGUUGUCAUGCCAAUGGCAUUGCCCGGUAGCUAAGUGCGGAAAAGAUAAGUGCUGAAAGCAUCUAAGCACGAAACUUGCCCCGAGAUGAGUUCUCCCUGACUCCUUGAGAGUCCUGAAGGGACGUUGAAGACUACGACGUUGAUAGGCCGGGUGUGUAAGCGCAGCGAUGCGUUGAGCUAACCGGUACUAAUGACCCGUGAGGCUUAACCUUACAACGCCAGAGGCGUUU
rnacentral:rRNA from 1 species